rnacentral:rRNA from 1 species
UACAGAGGUGGCAAGCGUUGUUCGGAAUUACUGGGCGUAAAGGGCGCGUAGGCGGCCUUCUAAGUCAGACGUGAAAUCCCCCGGCUUAACCUGGGAACUGCGUCUGAUACUGGGAGGCUGGAGUAUGGGAGAGGGAGGUAGAAUUCCAGGUGUAGCGGUGAAAUGCGUAGAUAUCUGGAGGAAUACCGGUGGCGAAGGCGGCCUCCUGGACCAUAACUGACGCUGAUCCGCGAAAGCUAGGGGAGCAAACGGG